rnacentral:rRNA from 1 species
AGACUAAUACCGGAUAAUAUUUUGAACCGCAUGGUUCAAAAGUGAAAGACGGUCUUGCUGUAACUUAUAGAUGGAUCCGCGCUGCAUUAGCUAGUUGGUAAGGUAACGGCUUACCAAGGCAACGAUGCAUAGCCGACCUGAGAGGGUGAUCGGCCACACUGGAACUGAGACACGGUCCAG